UUGCACGUUACAGGUAAAAAGUGUUGUGGCGGUGGGAAACCUACUUGCAGGUCCGGUUCUGGACGCUCUUGGAAAGGAAAAGAAAAUGCCUGAGGCUGUAACAGAGC
rnacentral:SRP_RNA from 14 species